rnacentral:sRNA from 1 species
CCCGGCAAUAAAUUGCUGGGCUAUUAUUUCGGUCAUGCCUGCGGCAUU